CCUUCCACAUUUUACUUUUGGUUCUUUGUCAAAUAAGGUAGUAACAGAGUCCCUAACUGUAACAUAGGGAGCAGUCGCUACAUGUGAACUUCGUGGCUCUAAAAUCUUGAGAUACCGCUUCCUUACCUCCUUCCUUGUCAAUGAGUGUUUAGAUUUUUAAUGACAUUUCAAAGUCAAUCUCCAAACACUUUAGAGGUCAAUCCUAGCAGAGACGAACUUUAAACUGGUGGGAGUAGGGUGCAGAGCAAUCCCUCUGGGAGUCAGAAUGAGAUACUUGUGUGUCUGGACUGGUAGCAGGGUUUUAUGUUACCAGAGUGAUCUCCAUGGUAACAGAUCAACAUGGUGCCAGUGACAGCUUUACGCUCCAGGCUUUAGGUUCCCAUGAGAAAGUGGAUUCUUAACAACAAAUAGGGGAGCAGAAAUGAAGGAAUAUGGAUGUACGCUCCCCUUUCUUGUAAAGUUCUGGUCAUGAAGUUUCUGUUCAUACAACCAAUGACACGUCCUGUUUAACCCCCUGGGUUCCUCUGUCAACCAAGACUCUUCAGAGGAUGUGCAAUGUGCUCUUGAAUUUCAACUGAACUCAUACCAGGUUUAAAUAGGCGUUGGUAGCAAAGAACUGUAUUGGAGUGGAACAAGAGUGAGACUUGGAGUCGGGAAACCUGGCCUUCAGACCCAGCUUUUGUACAAGAUGUCUUGAAGGUCCUUACUUUCCACAUUCUUAGAUUCUCACCAGUUACGAUAGUCAAUCAUCCAGUUUUAUGGAAAGCCCCUGGUGUGUGAUUCAUUGGCGGUAAAAAUAGUAGCCAGUUAAAUAGAGGACAAUCUGCCAUCCCCAUCCCCAUCAAAGGUAUGAUCCUGUUGUGAUCGUGUGGAUGCAAACGUUCAGACACCUAAAAAGUAGAAGUACUUCUGAAUAUUCCAAGAGUUACAUCCAAUGGUUCCCAAGCCCAGCUGCACUGCAGAUUCACUUGAUGAUCUUUUAAAAAAGAUUACACUUCCUACCUCAGACCUCUUUCAUCAGAGUCUUCAGGGCUGGGUUCCAAGUACCUAGCAAAACACGGCUCCAAUUUUCUGGGGAAGAGAUAAGCGAGACAUUUCGAGAACCACUCCGAGGAGGGUGUUGUCACAUCACUGGUGGAAAUUAUGUGGAUGAUGGUUGAAGAAGACUGCAAAGGAGCCAGCUCUGGGAGCUGAGACUAAAGGCAACGUAGAUAUACACAGCAGAUAAAGAAAUAGGCAUACACACAAGCAUACCCAGAGCUGGAAACCAAGUCAUUAUACCUGGCCGUCGUUCUGUACAGAACAUUUAGGCAGUAAAGUCACCUCUUUCUUUACGCUGUUUUGCUCUUUUCUUUAGAUCAGAUUUUACCUGGAUAGGAGAAUUAACAAAAGAGGGUCAGGUGGAUGGAUGUGCAUUUCUUCCUGCUCUCUCAGUGGCAGACGUCUGUGAAGCAUUGGCCAGAGUCAGCUAAGCAUGUACUUUAGACGAGAUCCGCACUCCUAAAGGGGACUCAUGCAGUCUUCAGAUGGAUUACAUUUAAGUUAAUCCUUGUUCCGACUCAGGUCUCAUCUGCUAGUAGGGUUCAGUUUUCAUUCAUCUACUGUAAAACCAAACAACCCUUACUUGUGGCGAAGGGAGAGAGGAAAGAGAGGAAAUAAAAAAAGCGUUGCAUUUUA